AUUGAACGCUGGCGGCAUGCCUUACACAUGCAAGUCGAACGGCAGCACGGACUUCGGUCUGGUGGCGAGUGGCGAACGGGUGAGUAAUAUAUCGGAACAUACCUUGUAGUGGGGGAUAACUAUCCGAAAGGAUAGCUAAUACCGCAUACGCUCUAAGGAGGAAAGCGGGGGAUCGUAAGACCUCGUGCUAUAAGAGUGGCCGAUAUCUGAUUAGCUAGUUGGUGAGGUAAAGGCUCACCAAGGCGACGAUCAGUAGCUGGUCUGAGAGGACGACCAGCCACACUGGAACUGAGACACGGUCCAGACUCCUACGGGAGGCAGCAGUGGGGAAUUUUGGACAAUGGGGGCAACCCUGAUCCAGCAAUGCCGCGUGAGUGAAGAAGGCCUUCGGGUUGUAAAGCUCUUUUGUCAGGGAAGAAACGGUUGUGGCUAAUAUCCAUGGCUAAUGACGGUACCUGAAGAAUAAGCACCGGCUAACUACGUGCCAGCAGCCGCAGUAA
rnacentral:rRNA from 1 species